rnacentral:tRNA from 1 species
ACCUUUGUGGUGUAGUGGUCAGCAAGCUGGGCAAGUAUUCCAGAGGUCCGUGGUUCGAGUCUCAGCGAAGGUG